AUUGAACGCUGGCGGCAGGCCUAACACAUGCAAGUCGAGCGGAUGAAGGGAGCUUGCUCCUGGAUUCAGCGGCGGACGGGUGAGUAAUGCCUAGGAAUCUGCCUGGUAGUGGGGGAUAACGUCCGGACACGGGCGCUAAUACCGCAUACGGCCUGAGGGAGAAAGUGGGGGAUCUUCGGACCUCACGCUAUCAGAUGAGCCUAGGUCGGAUUAGCGAGUUGGUGGGGUAAAGGCCUACCAAGGCGACGAUCCGUAACUGGUCUGAGAGGAUGAUCAGUCACACUGGAACUGAGACACGGUCCAGACUCCUACUGGAGGCAGCAGUGGGGAAUAUUGGACAAUGGGCGAAAGCCUGAUGCAGCCAUGCCGCGUGUGUGAAGAAGGUCUUCGGAUUGUAAAGCACUUUAAGUUGGGAGGAAGGGCAGUAAGUUAAUACCUUGCUGUGUUGACGUUACCAACAGAAUAAGCACCGGCUAACUUCGUG
rnacentral:rRNA from 1 species